rnacentral:misc_RNA from 1 species
GAUCGCCGUGUGCGGUAAAAGCCGCCUGCAUGGUGAAUGCUCGAAUCGAAAGCCAACUGCUAAUCGAUU